rnacentral:lncRNA from 1 species
AUCGGACGAAUCCCCAUGGGCACGUGCCCGUUUCCCAGUUCUGGACGAUUUUGCCCGGCCAGGGGCUCUAGUGCGCGGUGGUAUCGCGCCAUCUUUGACAGCCUGAAGCGUGUCAUUCGAUGCAGGCUGAACCUGCAGUUCUGGAGGGGAGGUUACAUGUCUGCUUUUUGCUAACGCCUUACGUCCCGGUUGAGCCACGUUAGUGGGAACCGGGUUGCGUGUGUUCUGCAUGCCACUAGUCUGUGUCUGUAUCAAUGCCUCUGUUAUAGACUGAGUGAUAGAGGACGACAUGACCCCCAUCGCAGAGGUCAAAGCUUUGUUAAUGGAUUGUGCCAUGGUAACGUCCAGGAGGGACUGAAACUCCUCAGAUGCCAUGAGGCUGGCGUCACUUUUACUUCCCUUGUUAGAGGGGGAAACGCCUGAUGUGGGGCACAUGGACCCUGAAGGUCUGUCACUCUGGUCCUGCAUAGCAGUUAAAAUCUUUACAGGGAAUAUAUACCCUAGUUCAACUAGUGGAAAUAUUAGGCCAGUAAAAUCCACUUAUACACUUGGUAUCAGUUAAAAGUACUGGCAGAGUGUUUUAAUCUGUAAAGGAAUUAGCUUAGGAAAAGUUAGCAAAGAAAAUGGUGUCAGGAUAGAUUAAUCCUCCACACCACACUUACAGUUUAGUAGACAAACAAAACCGAAAUAUACACUGCAAUUAUAGCCCAGUCUGGGUCCUAGGAGAGUGCUUGUGCGGGUAGGAGAAGCCGGUAGAAGGUUUAUUCAGCAAAUUCCCGCCGAAAUCGCGCUUAAAAUGGCCGCCGCGAGUGUAAACUUACACUCCCGGCGAUAUAAACCAAAAAGAUGGCCGCCGCGCUAUCAACUGCGCAUGCGCGACCGGGCCGCAAGUGGAAAAAUAAAUUCAGUGGCCGCGCAUGCGCGGCCUGCCGCAAAACAGCGGAAAUACCACGGACGUAAACCGAAGGUGCCAAGCACCAGAAGCCAGGUAAGUAGCCCCAGUCACCCAACAGAGAACCAACAUGUGGGGCAGGGAGAAAUAACUCCCCUGAAGCAGUUAGGCAGCACUCUCCUAACACCAGAAGGGCAUAAAACAGAAGUAACACAGAAUGACAUAAUACUAACUUGUAAUAAUAUCAUCUAAGAAUCAUUCAAUUAAUGUGCAGUAAUUAAAUACAACUAAAUGUAUAAAAUUUACAAGAGAAACAAAAUGAGGUAUUUAACUUGUCUGAGGGAGCAGCAAGAAAGAGGAGGAGUCAAUGAGCACUACACCUAUAUGGAUUAUACUGGAUGCUGAUUGGUGCUACUGUUACCAGGAUACUGUUAUGGUUUUCUUUUUUCUAUGAUUCUCUCAUACUUCCCUCUUCUUGCUGCUGGGAGUAUAAUAAAGAAAGAGAAUGCAUAAUAGGAGCCUCCGUGUCUUUAAUAAAAUCUAUAUGUUCUUACCAUAUUUCCAUGGCAACAUUAUUUCAGUUUUACUAUGGUUUAAUGUAGACCCAUACAAUCCAUCCCUGCAACAUGAAGGCCUUUUAAUUUUACUCAGCUCUGCCCACCCUGGUUCCUUCUAACUAUAUAGCAUGCACCUCCAGCUGUUCGGAACCACACCAAUCACCUCCCUAUUACCUUUACAUGUUAUCAGCUGCUGCAGUUAUACCAUUAACUCUUUCUCUGCCAUCACAUACAAAUUUCUCUGCUACCUCUUUGUCUCAUACCCCCAUUUCAACCUUUAGAUUGUAAACUCACAAGGGCCCUCUACCUGUUGUAUCAGUCUGUUCUUAUUGUGUUUGUUUUUUUCCCAUUUGUACAGCGCUGUGGAAUUUGGCGCUUUAUAAAUGCCAGUUAUAAUAAUAAUACUAAUAAUAAUAAUAAUAAUGUGCCUUUUCUUGAGAACAUAUCUGGGAUGUUUAAUUGUGGAAGAAAGGUGUUAGCAGAAUGGAUUUGUUUUGGUUUUUACAAAUAGAGGUUUAUGUUGUUGUCUUCUGUGUGGGUACUUAGAUGGAUGGCAGACCUACAAAUUAUCUUGUUUCAUGUAUUCCUUACUGGGGCAUAUAGUGUCUUUUUAUGUUAAUUGUGUUUAGGACAGCGAAUGCAAGCUUGUUUUGAGAAUUGCCAUUCCUACAUUUCCCACUAGGUGUCACCAUUUCCCUGUGUAGAACAAUUAUUUUUAUAAAAUAAAUGCAGACAGCCUUUACAUCCCCACUGGACACAGAAUGAAGCAAACUGCAUUUGAUCUGUUCAGAUUAUUGGGCUGGCUACCAAUGCAGCAGAAUUUGCAAUUAUUACAUCCGAAAACAAUUUGCAGCAUCAGCAAGGCCUUAAGGCCUUUAGCUCAAGCUUUCAUUGUGCUGUGGCGGCACCCUAUUUCAUGCGUUUGUUCU